CAGAAGUGAAAUUCCAAAUCUCGCUUGAGGAAGAAGGUUAAGCAGAGAUCUCAUCUAUUCUCUGAAAAGUAUAGUUGGAUUAUAUAAGUAUAUAUGGGACCAAGUAUGUGAUGGUGAUUAUUGUCAGCUGAUAUUCUUGAAGAGGCAGAAGACGUGCAUAUUUCAGAGUGCUGAGGUCUGCUUUCUACCUGGAGCUCCAUGGAGGCUGCAAACUGAUGGAUCUCUCUAAAGGUCUCCAGCAUGUUUUAUUCUGCUUGCUGAGAAGUAGCAGCAAUUGGCAGAUGCUGCUGCUAGGCUAAGCAAAAAAUGCUUACACCUUUGUACUCAAAAGUGAAACUGAUAACUGUCCCUUGUUUUGUCUGUCUGAAGAACAUGAAGUCCUUCUGAUGGACACUCCGAAAAGGAUUCUCAGAAUGUGUCACAGAUGCUUUGAAUUGAGGUUGGGGAUAAACAGCAGCAUCCUCUAUUUUGGACGUUGUCCUCAGUCUGAACUGAGGGGAAGCUGCCAACCCGCUUCUGUCACCAUGCUUCUCAAGAUUUGUUUUGAUGAAAACAAGGGAGUCAAGUUCAUUGCAAUAUUUCAUUGCUUGUGGUGUUUCACUGGAUGUGCCAACUGAAAUACAGAAUCUCAAGCUGGGAAGGACCAAUAGGCUCACAGGGCAAUGACAGAACUGAGCCAAGCUGAGCUGAAAAUAAUUCCCUGGAUUUUUCAACCCUGUGAAGAAGAAGGAUUAGAAAUAUGAUGCCCUGCCGAAUUCAGUUACAAAGAGAUUAGAAGGAAGACAUCCUGCUGAACUCUCUUACAAAGAGGUUGUGACAGUAGCAACCGGGAAGAAGAGCUUUAAACAAAAUGCUAAAAUAAUGAAGCUCCUACCCUUCACUGUACAGUGUGAGGCAGAUACCUGACCUGGCUCUGAGCAAGCGCUACUGUGCUUCCACUGCAUAUAGCAAUACAGGAAUGUUCCUGGUGGGCAUUGACCCAAGCAGAGCCAGUAUUUACAUGGCUGUACUGCAUCUGCUUUCACCUCCAAAUUGGUUUUCUCCCUCCACCACAGCAUUAAAUUGCG
rnacentral:lncRNA from 1 species